rnacentral:rRNA from 1 species
UACGAAGGGGGCUAGCGUUGCUCGGAAUCACUGGGCGUAAAGCGCACGUAGGCGGCUUUUUAAGUCAGGGGUGAAAUCCUGGAGCUCAACUCCAGAACUGCCUUUGAUACUGGGAAGCUUGAGUCCGGGAGAGGUGAGUGGAACUCCGAGUGUAGAGGUGAAAUUCGUAGAUAUUCGGAAGAACACCAGUGGCGAAGGCGGCUCACUGGCCCGAUACUGACGCUGAGGCACGAAAGCGUGGGGAGCAAACAGG